CCUACGGGUGGCAGCAGUGAGGAAUAUUGGUCAAUGGGCGCGAGCCUGAACCAGCCAAGUAGCGUGAAGGAUGACUGCCCUACGGGUUGUAAACUUCUUUUAUAAAGGAAUAAAGUGAGGCACGUGUGCCUUUUUGUAUGUACUUUAUGAAUAAGGAUCGGCUAACUCCGUGCCAGCAGCCGCGGUAAUACGGAGGAUCCGAGCGUUAUCCGGAUUUAUUGGGUUUAAAGGGAGCGUAGAUGGGUUGUUAAGUCAGUUGUGAAAGUUUGCGGCUCAACCGUAAAAUUGCAGUUGAUACUGGCAUCCUUGAGUACAGUAGAGGUAGGCGGAAUUCGUGGUGUAGCGGUGAAAUGCUUAGAUAUCACGAAGAACUCCGAUUGCGAAGGCAGCCUGCUGGACUGUAACUGACGCUGAUACUCGAGUAGUC
rnacentral:rRNA from 1 species